UGCGUGCAUGUAUAUUCAAAUUUCAAAUAUAUUUUAUUGUCUUCUGUUAACUAACGCUCCGUGUGGUGACUCAUGUCCAGGUCGCGACAGUGGACGCCAAGCUUGGUACGGGUCACUUACGUUAAUCCGUGAUUCCUCUGUACUCCCUGAGGUGAACAAGAACCCAAGUUGGGUAAGCGAAAAUGGCGCUUACGAUCACAGAGAUGUGAACAGCCUUUUCAGCCGUCGACAUUUUUAUGCCUUUCGGCAGCGAGGCCGAGUACGCCGCUGAACGGGUCUGCAUUG
rnacentral:lncRNA from 1 species